rnacentral:rRNA from 1 species
GUGCCAGCAGCCGCGGUAAUUCCAGUCAGCCAAUAGCGUAUAUUAAAGUUGUUGUGGUUAAAAAGCUCGUAGUUGAACCUUGGGCCUGGCUGGCCGGUCCGCCUCACCGCGUGCACUGGUCCGGCCAGGCCUUUCCCUCUGUGGAACCCCAUACCCUUCACUGGGCGUGGCGGGGAAACAGGACAUUUACUUUGAAAAAAUUAGAGUGCUCCAGGCAGGCCUAUGCUCGAAUACAUUAGCAUGGAAUAAUAAAAUAGGACGCGCGGUUCUAUUUUGUUGGUUUAUAGGACCGCCGUAAUGAUUAAUAGGGACAGUCGGGGGCAUCAGUAUUCAACUGUCAGAGGUGAAAUUCUUGGAUCAGUUGAAGACUAACUACUGCGAAAGCAUUUGCCAAGGAUGUUUUCAUUAAUCAGGAACGAAAGUUAGGGGAUCGAAGACGAUCAGAUACCGUCGUAGUCUUAACCAUAAACUAUGCCGACUAGGGAUCGGACGGUGUUAUUCAUGACCCGUUCGGCACCUUACGAGAAAUCGAAGUGCUUGGGCUCCAGGGGGAGUAUGGUCGCAAGGCUGAAACUUAAAGAAAUUGACGGAGGGGCACCACCAGGGGUGGAGCCUGCGGCUUUAAUUUGACUCAACACGGGGAAACUCACCAGGUCCAGACACAAUAAGGGAUUGACAGAUUGAGAGCUCUUUCUUGAUUUUGUGGGUGGUGGUGCAUGACCGUUCUUAGCUAGGUGGGGUGACUUUGUCUGCUUAAUUGCGAUAACGAACGAGACCUUAACCUGCUAAUUAGCCCGCAUGCUUCGGCAGUGCGCUGGCUUUCUUAGAGGGACUUUC